UACAACUAGAUGACAGGAUCAUAAAGAGAGCAUAUCGGAUAAGUAUGACACGGACACUCUUUUCCAUCCUCGUGCAUUGUGACAGCUUUACUUGAUUAUAGUUUAUGUCACUGAGGAAAAGCAGAGCAUCAAGGAAUAAAAGGCACAGAGAAUUACAAGAGAUCCGAAUUCUUCAAAAGUAACGUCAUUACCGGAUGCGGAAGAUCUAAAGGACAUGAAACUCUUUUCGUUAACUUUUUAGGACAGCUGUGGUGUUAAGAGCCGUAAAUACUCUUUGAGAAAAUUCAACCCGAAUUAUACUUAAAGCAAUUCUGAAAACUUUGCUUCAAGGAUGUAAACUUUCCCCGUCUUCAAUACACUGUGAGAAUCAGCACCUUUUACGAUUACUUUCGUGACAUCGCAGUUACCGCUGGACAGAUCUCAUAAUUAUCAUAUCUGGAGCGAAACGGAAAAUCUAAGGUAAGUCGGCUGCAAACUAUAGCACGCGCUUGGCUGUGGACGACCUUCGAUCUUGGUGUUAAUGACCACAGAUAAGGAGAUGAAGGUUUCUUGUUGGACGUGCUUUAUAUUUGUCACGGCCUUGAUCUCUGCAGCUUGUGCUCUUCAGUGCAAUGUAUGUUAUUUUGAUACCCUUUCAAAUGAGAACUCUUGCAAUACCACUCAUGAGAAUUGCAUGGCUGAAUGGCCAUUCUGUAUGACACAGUCAGAAGAGAGACCAGAUGGAAGCAGGAUAUUCACGAGGGGCUGCGCUCCCCUUUUGCCCUGCAAACCGGACUAUUGCGAGGAAAUGCUCAUAAAGAAGGUAGGGCGGAAGGACUGCAACAUCACGUGCUGUCAGGAAGAUUUGUGCAACAGGGACGGCUAUGGUACAGCUGGAAGCGAAGAACGUGUGUCACGUGCCAACCGGAUGUUAGAAUACUUUGUCAUUAUUAUAGGAAUCUGUUUUUCUCUUUUAGGAAGACAGUUGUAACUCCAAGAAGUUUAUUUUGUAGGGUGGUAGCUUUAGGUAGUCUCCUUCGGAUUCGCAGCCUUUGAUGGGGCCGUCAACUAACGCACUUCCCCCUCUUUAAAAGCAACUGUUGCCGAGGAACUGAGUUGGGAAUUCGGUGAUGAAGAAAGACGUAAGGAUUUACUUUUCUGUGCGUCACACUUUACUAACUGUACCAGGUAUUCUUACUUUCCUAGAAAUCUUGACAGUAGUGUCAGUUAACUCGUUACCAGCCCUUUUCAGCUAAUCUCACGAUUUCGACAGCAAUUUGUGAUAGAUAAGCACGAGUAAAUUUUUUAUAGACUAACAAAUUUGCACAAGCCCGUAGGGCAAUGGCGAUUUGUACUCUUUGAAAAAGCAAAUUAACGAGUAUUUGUUUAUUGCCAUAGAAAAAUCAUGUGAUUACAUAUCCAUGAUAUACAUUAAAAAACAUUCUUCAUAUCAAUGAAGAGGCAAAGUGCGCAAGUCGCGUGCAAAGAUGACUUUUUUUAGGACCAACCGCGUUCAAUCAAAACGAAGAUGUUCUAAAUUGGUUUUAAGUUUUUAAGCUGCUAAAAAUUUUAAAGCCCGACUAAGCAGCCUGUUACAUUUUUUUUUGCUCUGAGCUUACCUCUCUUCUGUACUACAAACAAGGAAGCGUUGCGAAUGAUAUUUUGUUGAGAAUUGAGAUGAUUAACGAAAAGGCGUAUGAAAUCAUUGCGUAUUUCGUCGUUUAAGGUCACUUGUGAUGUUUUGAAGGUUUUCAAAUUACCCUCGCUUACGACUCGUGCAAUUACCAAAAUUUUUAAAACAUCGUGACUCGGGCGCAUUAGGCAAGAAAUACAAUUACCUUCAGAAAACUUCCUAUACUUAUCUUUACAAAGUAGAUGUAUUUAAAAUAACCUAGUAAAUCUAUCUUUUAAGACUCGUCCCAACUCUGAUAAACAUGAUUUUAACUUGUA